rnacentral:lncRNA from 10 species
CACAUAUAUUUUCCAUUCCAAAAGAAUAUUCUUUCCACUCCAUCCUGAAGGGUCUUGCUCUGUCAUUCCAGCUGGAGUGCAGAGGUGUGUGAUCGCAACUCUCUACAGCCUUGACCUCUGAGCCUCAAGCAAUCCUUCUACCUCAGCCUCCUGAGUAGCUGGGACCACAGGAUAAUGCUGGUCUCACAAAAUGGAUUGGGAAAUGCCACACCUCUACUUUCUGAAAGAGUUUACAUAAGAGCCUCACUCUGUCGCCCAUGCUAGAGUACAAUCAUGCAAUCUUGGCUCACUGCAACCUCUGCCUCCUGGGUUGAAGCGAUUCUCCUGCCUCAGCCUCUUGAGUAGCUGGGAUUACAGCCUCUGUUACUGGGCAUGGAGUCAUCUGUCUUCUAUGGAGCACCUCUGUCUUUUGGUCAAAGAGGGAAAAUGAAAUCCUGGCCCUAUGGAUACUGGGAAGCAUACUCAAGUAUCUCUGAGUUUGAGACCAGCUUGGGCAACAGAGCAAGACGCCGUGUCUACAAA